AUCGUCUCGAUGCCAAACUCUAGCCCAAUCGACAUGACCUGGARUAACAAAGCUACUCUACACACCCUACUAAAGCAUUUACUAGWCCUAGUAUAGGCGAUAGAAAAGACACCAUUGGAGCGAUAGAGACUACGUACCGUAAGGGAAAGAUGAAAUAUUAGUGAAAUAACCUAAGCUAAAAACAGCAAAGAUCAACCCUUGUACCUUUUGCAUCAUGGUCUAGCAAGAAAAACCAAGCAAAAUGAAUUUAAGUUUGCCACCCCGAAACCCAAGCGAGCUACUUACGAGCAGCUAUUUUGAGCGAACCCGUCUCUGUAGCAAAAGAGUGGGAUGACUUGUUAGUAGAGGUGAAAAGCCAAUCGAGCUGGGUGAUAGCUGGUUGCCUGUGAAACGAAUCUUAGUUCACUCUUAAUUCUUCUCCAAGGAAACCACACGAACCCUAAUGAAGCGAAUUAAGGGCAAUUUAAAGGGGGGACAGCUCCUUUAAAAAAGAAUACAAUCUCUACGAGCGGAUAAGUAAUAAUCUCCCUAACAUACUGUGGGCCCUCAAGCAGCCAUCAACAAAGAGUGCGUUAAAGCUCUACCUCUCAAAAAUAUAAGAACAACACGACUCCCUCCCCAUUAACAGGCUAACCUAUAUCUAGAUAGGAGAAUUAAUGCUAGAAUGAGUAACCUGGGUCCUCCCUCUACCGCGCAAGCUUACAUCGGCACAUUAUUAACAAACCACCCAUAUACGAUAAAUCAAACAAGCAGAGUAUUAAGCAUAUUGUUAACCCGACAGAGGAGCGUCCA
rnacentral:rRNA from 1 species